GUUGAUGUUUUGUUCAGAUGGUAUAUAAGGCUGAAAAUAUGCGAAUUGCAUGUAAAUAAUAAAUUAAAUUAAGCUCAAACACAGGAAUUAUGAAGGCUAUUAUCGUUGCAUACAUAGUGGCAGCUGCGUUCAUCAUAAUGGCAGCUUCCCCGUAUAUAACAUUGAAGGAAUCGCCGUUAUCGCUACCUGGCGUCCCAUAUCCAGAGAUUUAUUAAGAAAUAAAACCGAACUUCAUCUUAAA